CUGGAGUGUGUUGGGUCACGGCUCUCCGUCUUUCUCUCGUGUGUGUAGUGUCAUUUACAAAGGCUGUGACGGCAGUACACCACUUCACUCCAACUGACUUCAUUUGAAAAGAGAGUGAUGAAAGGACUAGAGCUAGAGGAUUCCACAAGUCGCUUUCGAUUCGCUCAGUCAUGUUUGGGCCUGGCAGGCUGCUUGUGUAUCAGCUACGCUGUCUGGACGCCUCACUGGCUGGACGAGAAGGGACUGUGGGCGAACAGGAAUGAGUCCAGUCCAGAUGAUAUUGAAGGUCUGGGGGCUCAAAGAGUCUUUGCUGCUCUUUCUUUCCUCAUGGCCAUUAGCUCAGGAGUUCUGUGUCUGGUCUUCGCUUUCUGCUGGACGUCUCGGACAGUGCGCUCUUACUCCAACACGCGCUCUCUGCUGAUGGCAGGGCAGACACUCUACCCCACCACCCUGUUAUUUAUCACACUCACCCCUACAGGGUUCUUCUUUCUUCUAAGCUGGGCACUCUUUACCAGUCAGCACAUUGCCGAAAUCCAGGACGACAUCACACGCCUGGGCUCCUCCUAUUGGCUGGGCGUGGUGGGCUGGGCUCUGCUGUUGGCCGUGCUGCCGGUCGUGUUUCUGGUAGAGCAGUGUGUGGUGCCGGACGUCCUGCCUGAGCUGAUGAGAGCAGCUGAGACGUGGUGGAAAGCUCCCGAGGUGGCGUACGCUCACUCUUUCAGUGAGAGCUGCCAUAACAAGGGGGAAGAAUUUGACAAUAGGUUAAAGAGGCACCUGUCAGUGCCCUGAGGACGACUGUAGAUGCACAAGAUGAGUUGAAUAUUGCUGCUGUCUCAAUAUCUGCACCCUUGAUUAGCCAAUGGAAGGACUGAGUAGCAGGGGAAUGCCUCCAGAAUCUCAGAAGGCUGUAGAUAGUUUAUUGCACUUUAGCCAGGAUCUGUCAGGCCUCAGAGCCUGAAGAACAAAUGGACUGAAAUUCAUUGAUGGAUGGACAUUAAAGGACUGUUCUUUUCCUAAUAAUUUCUUUCAAGCUAAUGUUGUAAACUACAACACAUUAAAGACUAAAAAUACUAAAUGUUUGCCACCAUCAGUGAGCUAAGACCACACUACUGUAAGUUGUUGGUGCAUGGUGAAGACCCCUGUUAUGUUAUGUUGGAUCAUUUUGAACCUGCAUUCUGAAGUUAAUGCAACCAUAGUCUGAGGUGCAAAUUUGUACUAUGAUUAGCAUGCAUAGAUUUAAGGCUACGAUUUCAUGUGAGCAAGGAUAAGUGAGAGCAGACGAUUUAUUUUGUUGUAACAGCACCCUCAUGUGGUCCAUCUGUUUUGCAACAAUUGCUCAUGUACCUACCAUCAUUAAAGGUGUUUAUACACUUACC
ensembl:lncRNA